GGCCUGGAUGAGACCCAUCCUGGCAAGAUCUGGGCUGGACCACGUCAGGCCCAAAGAAGGAAGAUGGAGGCUGGAGGAGGGGACAGGGCCUGUGUCGGUCAGAGGAGGAUCGAGACAGACCACUUCUGCCUCCCACCUGGCAGGCCCAGGAGGGCCAGAGGUUCUGGGGGGCGGGGGGCGGGGUGGUCUGGGCUGCAGGUGUGUUGUGGCCUGGCUCCCACCCCAGAAGUAAAUCGCUUCAUUUCCCUGUUUCCUCCCAUCCACCGAGGUUUGUUGGCAUCCUCGUAUUUACUCGGAGCAUUUUGUUCUGUAACUGGAGAAGGAGAGGGACUGUCUGUUGGGAGUAGUUCCAAGAAGAGGAGGAGUAAGGAGGGGACAGGCCCUCCUCCCUGGCUCCCUGGCCUGCACUUGGGGCCACGGGUUAGAGGCUGCAGCCACGAGCAGGACCAGCUCUUGCCACAAAGAAGUGUAGGUCCCUUGAUUCAUCCGGAAGAGGAAUUCUUCCAGAAGGAGAAUAUUCAUCUAGGAUGGGGCAGAAUUGGGAGAUAAGAGGUGCUGCGGGCUUUGUCAGCAGCCUGGGAGACGGGGGACAUGGAGGAUCACAGCGGCAGAUCUUAAAUCAAAGCCCGGGCCAUCCAUCUUCCAGAACAGACGGAAAUAACUAGGUGGGUGGCACAGACCGCCACUGCAUGGACAGCGAGAGAUUAGAAAGCUGGAAUCUUGAGCCCCUAAGUCCCUUCACCAAUUUCCCCAAACCCCAGGGACCUGCCUGCUGAAGGGAGAACUCAUUUUAGACUUAGCCCAGGAGGGUCCGUGGGCUCGAUUGCAGGAAAUUCCUCUGUCUGGGGGCUUCUGAAGGCCCUUCCCCCACCACUGUUCUCUUAGCCCCCUUGCCCAUAGUUUCUCCUUGCAGGCACCCUCACGAGAGUCAGGCUGGCAGUGGUGGGGUAGCCGAGUGGUUAGUGGGUGUGCCAGACCGAUGGCUCAAAUCCUGGCUCCACUGCUCACCAGCUCUGCAAAGCUGGGCAAGCUGCAAAGAGACGGUUUGGCUCUCAGUUUCCUCAUCUAUAAAGCAGGAAGGAGGGGUUCCCGUCGUGGCUCAGUGGAAAC
rnacentral:lncRNA from 1 species